rnacentral:rRNA from 1 species
AAUAGAUACCCGGGUAGUCCACGCCGUAAACGAUGAGUGCUAAGUGUUAGAGGGUUUCCGCCCUUUAGUGCUGCAGCUAACGCAUUAAGCACUCCGCCUGGGGAGUACGGCCGCAAGGCUGAAACUCAAAGGAAUUGACGGGGGCCCGCACAAGCGGUGGAGCAUGUGGUUUAAUUCGAAGCAACGCGAAGAACCUUACCAGGUCUUGACAUCCUCUGCCAACCCUAGAGAUAGGGCGUUCCCCUUCGGGGGACAGAGUGACAGGUGGUGCAUGGUUGUCGUCAGCUCGUGUCGUGAGAUGUUGGGUUAAGUCCCGCAACGAGCGCAACCCUUGAUCUUAGUUGCCAGCAUUCAGUUGGGCACUCUAAGGUGACUGCCGGUGACAAACCGGAGGAAGGUGGGGAUGACGUCAAAUCAUCAUGCCCCUUAUGACCUGGGCUAUACACGUGCUACAAUGGAUGGUACAAAGAGUUGCGAACCCGCGAGGGUAAGCGAAUCUCAUAAAGCCAUUCUCAGUUCGGAUUGUAGGCUG